rnacentral:rRNA from 1 species
GAUGAACGCUAGCGACAGGCUUAACACAUGCAAGUCGAGGGGCAGCACGGGAGUAGCAAUACAACUGGUGGCGACCGGCGCACGGGUGAGUAACGCGUAUGCAACCUACCUAUCAGAGGGGAAUAACCCGGCGAAAGUCGGACUAAUACCGCAUAAAACAGGGGCACCGCAUGGUGAUAUUUGUUAAAGAGAUUCGCUGAUAGAUGGGCAUGCGUUCCAUUAGGUAGUUGGUGAGGUAACGGCUCACCAAGCCGACGAUGGAUAGGGGAACUGAGAGGUUGGUCCCCCAACUGGUACUGAGACACGGACCAGACUCCUACGGGAGCAGCAGUGAGGAAUAUUGGUCAAUGGGCAGAGCCUGAACCAGCCAAGUCGCGUGAAGGAAGAAGGAUCUAUGGUUCGUAAACUUUCUUUUAGUAAAGGGAAUAAAAAAGGAGUUACGUGUAACUUAUUGUAUGUACUUUACGAAUAAGGAUCGGCUAACUCCGUGCCAGCAGCCGCGGUAAUCAUAC